GGAAAGUAUGAUAAAGAAUGGGUAUGUUGGGCGGCUACAUAGUCACUGAAUGACAACUAAGACAAACCGACUGCUCGAACCAAAUGGUUAACCCCCAUAGUGGGCCAGUAAGGAAGCACACAGGCGCAAACGUUAGGGGAACAAAGGGGUUAGGGCGUUGAGGUGCUCAGGCGAACACAUAGCCUCACCAAUCUCACAAGUUAC